CACGCCGUAAACGAUGAGUGCUAGGUGUCGGAGUCGACAGACUUCGGUGCCGCAGCUAACGCAUUAAGCACUCCGCCUGGGGAGUACGUUCGCAAGAAUGAAACUCAAAGGAAUUGACGGGGACCCGCACAAGCAGCGGAGCAUGUGGUUUAAUUCGAAGCAACGCGAAGAACCUUACCAGAACUUGACAUCCCUCUGAUCGAGACUUAAUCGUCUUUUUCCUUCGGGACAGAGGAGACAGGUGG
rnacentral:rRNA from 1 species